AAAGUAGGUCUUAGUGAUCCGGUGGUUCUGUAUGGAAGGGCCAUCGCUCAACGGAUAAAAGGUACUCUGGGGAUAACAGGCUGAUACCGCCCAAGAGUUCAUAUCGACGGCGGUGUUUGGCACCUCGAUGUCGGCUCAUCUCAUCCUGGGGCUGAAGCAGGUCCCAAGGGUAUGGCUGUUCGCCAUUUAAAGAGGUACGCGAGCUGGGUUUAGAACGUCGUGAGACAGUUCGGUCCCUAUCUACCGUGGGCGCUGGAAAUUUGAGAGGAUCUGCUCCUAGUACGAGAGGACCAGAGUGGACGAACCUCUGGUGUACCGGUUGUGACGCCAGUCGCAUCGCCGGGUAGCUAUGUUCGGAAGGGAUAACCGCUGAAAGCAUCUAAGCGGGAAGCCUACCUCAAGAUAAGAUUUCCCUAGGACUUUAUGUCCUCUAAAGAGCCGUUCGAGACUAGGACGUUGAUAGGUUGGAUGUGGAAGCAUAGUGAUAUGUGAAGCUGACCAAUACUAAUUGCUCGUGAGGCUUGACUAU
rnacentral:rRNA from 1 species